UGGGGGAUAUUGCGCAAUGGGGGGAACCCUGACGCAGCAACGCCGCGUGAAGGAAGAAGGUCUUCGGAUCGUAAACUUCUGUCUUCAGGGACGAAAACUGACGGUACCUGAGGAGGAAGCCACGGCUAACUACGUGCCAGCAGCCGCGGUAAUACGUAGGUGGCAAGCGUUAUCCGGAUUUACUGGGUGUAAAGGGAGCGUAGACGGCAAUGCAAGUCUGAAGUGAAAGGCCGGGGCUCAACCCCGGGACUGCUUUGGAAACUGUGUAGCUGGAGUACAGGAGAGGUAAGUGGAAUUCCUAGUGUAGCGGUGAAAUGCGUAGAUAUUAGGAGGAACACCAGUGGCGAAGGCGGCUUACUGGACUGUAACUGACGUUGAGGCUCGAAAGCGUGGGGAGCAAACAGGAUUAGAUACCCUGGUAGU
rnacentral:rRNA from 1 species